rnacentral:rRNA from 1 species
CCUACGGGUGGCAGCAGUGAGGAAUAUUGGUCAAUGGGCGGAAGCCUGAACCAGCCAAGUAGCGUGCGGGAUGAAGGCCCUACGGGUCGUAAACCGCUUUUGUACGGGAACAAAACCCUCCACUUGUGGCCGUCUGCAGGUACCGUGCGAAUAAGGGCCGGCUAAUUCCGUGCCAGCAGCCGCGGUAAUACGGAGGACCCGAGCGUUAUCCGGAUUCAUUGGGCUUAAAGGGGGCGUAGGCGGGUGUUCAAGUCAGCGGUAAAAUCGCGGGGCUCAACCGCGCCCCGCAGUUGAAACUGGGGGCCUAGAGUGCACGAGAGGCAGGCGGAAUGCGUGGUGUAGCGGUGAAAUGCAUAGAUAUCACGAGGAACCCCGAUUGCGAAGGCAGGCUGCCGGGG